GACGAACGCUGGCGGCGUGCUUAACACAUGCAAGUCGAACGGAAAGGCCCUGCUUGCUGGGUACUCGAGUGGCGAACGGGUGAGUAACACGUGGGUGAUCUGCCCUGCACUUCGGGAUAAGCCUGGGCAACUGGGUCUAAUACCGGAUAGGAGCCAUUUUUAGUGUGAUGGUUGGAAAGUUUUUUCGGUGUAGGAUGAGCUCGCGGCCUAUCAGCUUGUUGGUGGGGUAAUGGCCUACCAAGGCGGCGACGGGUAGCCGGCCUGAGAGGGUGGACGGCCACAUUGGGACUGAGAGACGGCCCAGACUCCUACGGGAGGCAGCAGUGGGGAAUAUUGCACAAUGGGCGCAAGCCUGAUGCAGCGACGCCGCGUGGGGGAUGACGGCCUUCGGGUUGUAAACUCCUUUCGCUAGGGACGAAGCUUUUUGUGACGGUACCUAGAUAAGAAGCACCGGCUAACUACGUG
rnacentral:rRNA from 1 species